rnacentral:lncRNA from 1 species
UAUGAUAUACAUUUAGGUAUCGUUUGGUUCGGGGAUAAGCAAAAAGUGGGUAUUCCAGGGAUAGGUAUAAAUUGAGGUACAAGCGGGGAUUAGAUCAAUUUUACGUUUGGAUGAAAAUUGGGUUAUUUCUGGGAAUAAGAAAAAUAACGUUUGGUUAGGUAAGAUGGAAUAAGAAUUAAAGUGGGUAGUUAUAAAUAAAAAUUAAUAAUAUUAUCUCUUUCUUUAUAUUAGAAUUUGAAUUUUUAUAUUUUAUAUUUAUAUUUUAGAAUUUAAAAUAUAAACUUUUAAAUUUUAAAAUUUUAAAAUCUCAAAUUUACAAUUUUAAUUCUAAUCUUUAAAUUUAAGAUAAAUUUAAUUUGAAUAAAAAUAAAUUUUCAAAUUUAAAAUUUUAAAAAUUAAAUUAUCAAAAUCAAUUUAAAAUUAAAAAUGUGGAAUUUAACAUUAAAACUUUAUUUUGAGAUUAAACAAUUUUAAAAUUUAAAUAUAAUUUAAUUAUCAAUAUUUAAUUUUAAAUUUACUUUAAAUUUUAUUAAAUUCUAAAUUUUAAUUUAUUUAAUAUUAAAUAUAAUUUGUUAUAAAUUUAUUAAAAUUUUAAUAUAAAUAAUAUGUAUUAAUAUAGUACAAUUAAUAAUUUAAUAAUAAAAAUAAUAUAUUAUAAUAUAUAAUAUAUUAUUUUAUAUAAUUUAGUUUUAAUUUAUUUUUUAAUUUUAAUUAAGUUUGAAAUUAAGUAUGGGAAUAGCACUAUUCCAUCAAAAUGGUGGAAUAGUAAAAAGCUUGCUAUUUCGGGAUAACCGGGAAUAGCAAGCUUUGACCGGGAUAAAAUAUUCCGGUAAAAAAUGAUCCUGUUUGGCGAAAUAGUGGGGAUAACUUUCGUUAUCCCCGCUUAUCCCCCGAACCAAACGGGGCCUUAUGGUCUAUAUAACUAAGGAAUCACAGUGGAAUCCAAACAUUACACAACAGUGACACACUAUACUCUCAUUGCUUUAUUAGAGAAUUAAGCUAGUUGAUAGCAAAGAGAGAAUCAAAAGCAAGAACCCUUGGAACAUACAUAAAAAUGAAUUAAAAAAGAAUUAAGUGGAAGAAGCACAACUAACCAACCACGGAUUUAGAAAGGAGAUUAAUUUGAAGAUCAGGGGGCUGCUCCAAAAUAGCCUCAAAUUUUGCCCGAGAAAAUGCUGCGAUCAAAUUACUGGGAGCAGAUGAAAGGAUACAUUAGCGCUAGCUGGAGCCACCAAGAAACUUCCCUCCUGCCCGGCCUUCUCGACCAGCAGCAUUUUGUGGGCAAUAAGAAGCCAUUAAAAAACUAGAGAGUCGAUGGGUACACGGAUACCCAAAAGUUUGUCCCAACUCAAAAUUUGAAUGGAAUCAAUUUAUCAAUAUGAAUAUUAAAAAUAAAAGACCGACGGAUAUAUAUGGUUUUGGAUAUGAAUUUUGUUCGAACCCGACGUCUUGAGUCCCAAUCCAAACCUGAAUUGAUUUUACAUUUUAUAUAUAUAUAUAUAUACACACAUAGGCCUUGGUUACUAUACUAUUANAUAUAUAUAUAUAUAUAUAUAUAUAUAUAUAUAUGGUUUUGGAUAUGAAUUUUAUUCGAAUCCGACCUGAAUCCCAAUCCAAACCCGAAUUCCACCCGAAGCAAAAUUGAUUUUACAUUAUAUAUAUAUUUUUGAUCUUAUAUUCGAAUUUAUAUUUUAAAAAUUUAGAUUUAAUAUAGUAUAUCUUGAAAUAUGAUAAAGAGAAAUAAUUAUUUUAGGUUCAGAUUUUUGGAUUUUUUUUUUUUAUAAGAUUUGGAGUUUGGAUAUAAAUUUUUAAAAUUCAUCGGAUUCGGUGUUGGAUUCAGGUUUUAGGUUUGGUAGUCGAGUUCGGAUUCUGUUUUUUGAAAACCCAUUCGGAAUCUGAUCUGUGGACAUUUCUAUUAAAAACACUUCGCACUGUGGUUUAGAAAAAAUUCUAGAAUGCAACAGAUAUAUUGGUGACAUGGUAUAACAAAUCAAUCAAAAAUCUUCUUUAGAAAUAUAUGUCCCAUCAUGAUUAUAAAAAAAAUUUUUUAUUAUAUUUUUAUUUUAAAAAAAAAUAUAAUUGACUUAUUAUUAAUGAUGUGGUGUAAGUGUGGUAGUACUGAAUUCCUCGUGGUUUAGCCAAGUCGGCUUCAUAAUAGAAAUUUUAAUAUUGAUUAAAAAUUGCUUCACACUGGUUACUGGUACCUUUGCACAUGGCCCCUCAUGGGUAGUUCUCAGAUCAGCUUCAGUUUAGAAUUUUAAAUAUUGAUAAAAUAUUGCUUCACACUGGUAUCUUUGCACGUGACCCCCCUUAUGGGUUGUUCUCAGAUCAGCUACGUAUUGAAAGUUUAAUAUUGAUAAAAAAUAGCUUAUUAAUUCACAUGCUUGCUAGGUCAGCAAUAAAGUUGGUUGUUUCUCUGUGUAAGUUUUUACUGAUACUCUAUGUUUAAUUGGAGAUUUGAUCUUGAGUUAACGCUACGUAGUGGAUGAUGCAAGCCUAAUUAAGUCACGUUGAGAGGGAAGAAGUAUAAGGACGAAAAGAGAGUGAUACACGAAGAAUUAUGUCACACCUCAAUAAUCCCACAUCGGAUAGAAAUUGGGAUGUGAUUGAGUGUAUAAGAGACUUAGACACUAGUAAUAAUAACUGAGUUUAAGCAUUGAGGUCGGUGGUUGGGCCUAACGAAUUAUUAUUGCAAGUGAGCUAGAUCGUUAUAUUUGAUAUCAGAAUCAGUUCACCAGCCUUCACCAGUCGAAAAUGUAUUUGGUAUCAGAGUCAGUUCACCAGCCUUCACCAGUCGAAAAUGUAUGGCGAGUCUCGACUGAGACAAGAUCUGAAAGACAAAGUAAUAUAUUAUGCCGAGGUCUGAAAGAUAAAGUAAUAUACAAUACCGGAGUCUGUAUGACAAGAUAACUGGCUAUACCAGAGUCCAAAGCCUGGAUGGCAAGAUUAGCGAGACGAGUCUUACUAGUGAGCUAGGUCGUUUACAAAUUAAUUUUUCGACAAAGGUGAAAAUAUUAUUAAUCAAAUCUAGAUUAGCGAGACGAGUCUCACUAGUGAGCUAGGUCGUUUACAAAUUAAUUUUUCGACAAAGGUGAAAAUAUUAUUAAUCAAAUCUAAAAAUUUAUUACAUUAACCGAACACCACGUUUAUAUAUAUAGAGGCCAUACUCGAAUCCUACUAGACGAAAAUAAUAAAUUUUAAUGUAUCUCUAAAUUUAAUCAUAUUAGAAAUAAUCAAAUAAUUGGACUAAAAAUAGGAAAAGUAGGAAAGUACUAAACCUUUCAAAAAUAGCCUAAACAUAUAAAAAUGAAAGCUGAAACAAUUGAAUUUGGGCCCCAAACUUGACCCUAACGGCUUUGUCGUUUGAUGCGUAAAUCUCAAAAAGUAUUUUUCGAUUUAGAAUUACAUGCUAAAAUCAAAUAGUUGAAUGAAAAGUUAUGACUGUUUAAAAAAAUUUUGUGUCGAUAAAAAAAAAUUAUCAAAUUCAGCAAAAUUUGAAAAUUUCAACUCAGCUUGGUUGAGCCAUAUUUUUUUCAUGAACUCUCGCCGCAACAAUGGACCUAUAUAUAUAAGAGAAAAAUAUUGAUUCAAAGUUAUUUACUCCAAUUUCUGGAGGGAAAUAGCAAAUGCAAAUUUCUCUCGCUCGCUCUCUCCUAGCACAAAUUUAUAUGUUUAUUUUUUAAGACAUUUUUUUUCUUUUAUUUUUUUCUAACUUUCAAAAAUUUAUAUGUUGUUUUUUUAAAAUUUUAAAAAUAUUUUCAGGAGAUACGAUAUUAAUAGAGAGGGCAAAAUAAUCAAAUUAUUUUUUUUUUAUAAAAAAUAAUUUUUAAUAUAUUUUUAUUAUUUUGUAGAAUAUUUUUGAUAUAAAUUAUAAAAAAUUGAUGAGAUAGUGAUGGAAUCCCAACGGAAUGGGCUAAAGAUAACAAUUUUGUAUAUAAGGAGGUUUUUUAAAUACAAUAACUUGAAAUAUUAAGAGAACAAAGUAUAGAUUUUUGAAAGUUAAGAAAAAAAAGUGAAAAAAUAAAAUUUGACAUUUUUAUUUUUAUUUUUUAUGAAGGUGCCCAUAAGGCAUAAGCCUUGUAAAAUAUAGAUAUAUAAAUAUCAACUUGUCAUUAGAUAAAAGUCUAUUCUUUGCGAGGGAAAAAAAAAAUUUGGGGAAUUUUUUUUGGAAUCUCUUUUAGUUACUCCAAACAGAGUAUGCGAUAUAAUUGUGAUAAUUAAAUCAAAUUUAAGUUAAAAUUAACCCUGAAUCAUGUCGUAGAAUAAAGUUAUAAUUAGUUAUUAAAUUAAUCACACCACAUAGUUGGGAACAAACGUAUCCUCCUCUUUUGAUAGAAAACUUUUUCAGAAUUAAGGGAUGAAUCAGAUUCGUUACAUAUUCUAAUAUUAUAGACACCAUGCGAAGCAGUGGUUUAUUAAAAAUAAUCAAUAUGUUUCUUAAAUCAAUCUGUCUAUAAGAAAAGGUCUAAAGAGAGACUGAUUUUCGUUUCAACGAUCGUAUUCGUUUCAACAAUUAUGAUCAUAUGAGUUGCACCUGUGAAUUAAAAUUAAUUGGCCAACAAGUUGGUCAUCAUUAUUUCAAUAUAAUGGACUCCUCUAAUUUGCUAAAUCCAUACAACAUACUAAUUGACAGUUCUAAAUGUAUACGUGGCGUCAUUUCCUUUUUUACGAAUAAAAAAAUUGUUCUCAGAUUUACCUCCUUCCCAAGAUGCUCUUUGGCUCCUUUUCAAGAUUUUACAUCCUUCCCAAGGCGGUCUUUGACUCCUUCCCAAUGUUUUACCAAGUUGGACCAAGAUAUUGGAGGUUUUCUAAGGCAGCUUUCAGCUCUUUCCCAAGUCACAUGGCACCUUUCCAAUAAGGUGAGGCCCAAAAAAAAAAAAAAUCAAAAAAAUCUGUUACAGCUGUGAACUCCCUAUCUCUCUCUGUGUCUCUCGCACUCUCUCUUCCCCAUCUCCCCUUCUCUCUUUCUCUAAGGUGGCCUCAUUCUCUCUCUCCUUCCUCCUCCAUCUAACUUGUCCCCAUUCUCUCUCUUUCUUACUCCAGCUGCCCCCCACACUCUCUCUCCCUCCCAUACUGUCACGCCCCGGAUUACACUUUUCCCGGGCACGCCGACAAAUCCGCCGUAUACAAAGGAAUUUCCCCUGUAUACGAAGCGAUAGCUGUACCUGUAAAUCAAACACUACUACGAACAGUAGUAGAGAGCUGCUAGAGAAAACAGAAGCUAAAUAAAACAGAGUUUCAUAUACAUAGUUCAGANCCUCUGAACUUAUUUUGAUUAUUUUAUUCUAGUUAAUUUAGUUAAAUUUUUAAAUUCAAGAGCUUUAUUAAUUAGUGUUUACCUAUUAAUUAUUUUCAUAUAUUUUUUAAAAAUUAAUUAAAUUUAACUUAAAUAAAUAAAUUAAUUAAUUAAUUACAAAUUAUUAAUUAAAUUAAAUUUAAAUUUUUAAUUUUUAGAAAUUAACUUAUUAAAUUAAAAAAUUAAAUUAAAUUAUUAGUUAAUUAAAUUAAAUUAAAUUUUUAAAAUUUAAUUAAAUGACUAAAUUUUAAUCAAAUUUAGUCUCCAAACAAAAAUUAUAUGGUGAAUGGGCCCAAACAAAUUCUUCAAACCCGAUACCCGAUACCCGAUACCCGAUACCCGAAAUCCGAAUCCCGAUGCCUUUCACGCUCGUCGACCACCUCCUCAUCGUCUUCCUCUUCCUCUUCCCCUUCUUCUUCACCCCCCCAACUCUUUUCCUCUUUUCCCCUUCUCCACCCAAAAACCCUAGCGUCCUCCUCCUCCUCCUCCUCUCUCUCAUCCUCUCCACCCCCUCCUCGUCCAUGGCGCAGAGCAACAACAGCGCCAUCCCCAUCACCGAGCAGUUCUGGUCCCUUGUCGACAAGGCCGAUCGCCGCUUCUCCCGCGUCCGCGAUCGCCCCUCCCAUGACCGCAAUCGGUAAAACCUAACCCCCUACCUCCCCCAAACCUCUCACCCCGAACCCUAAUUCGAUCCCUCUUCUUCUUCUUCUUCUUCUUGUUCUUCGAUCCAGGGACGACGGGGACUUCCACAAGGCGUUCAAGCUCUACACGCGGCUGUGGAAGGCGUGGCGCUCACCGAGGCCGGGAUGCGGCGGUGGGAGGUGGGCGAGAUCGCGUACCGCAUCGCCCAGCUCUACUACGGCCAGUACUGCCGCACCAGCGACUCCUCCUACCUCGCCGAGGCCUUCGUCUUCUACGAGGCGGUCCUCGACCGCGAGUACCUCCGCGACGCCCCCUCCGCCGCCGCCGCCGCCGCAGCCUCCGAGGUCGCCCUCGCGCAUAAGCAGCUCCGUCUCCUCGUAAGGUUCCUCAACGUUUCGCUCAUCCUCGGGCGCCGCGAGAUGGUCUUGCGGCUCGCAUUGCUCCUCCGGAUUGUCCUCGAGGAGCACAGGCGGAGUUUUCAGGUAUACAACUGUUUGUUUCUUUGUACAUUGUUGUUCAUUUCUAUAUCUGCUCUACAUAAUUCAGCUUGAGUUGUUUGAUAUGAUUAUAGUUUCAUAGUAUUAGUACUUCUUUGUUCUCACAUGCUGCACCAAAGUAUUGCAGAAUAAUUGAGAGAGUAGGUCGACCUUGUUGCUUAGACACUCAGCAACAACAAGUACCAUCUGAAGAGUACAAUUAUUCGCAUAAAUUAAUUUAGGAGUUCUCUUUCUUCAAUUGAUGAUUAAUUAAACUGAAAAUUUUGUAACUUGUCGAAUUUUGUAAAUUGACACUAUAUUCUAUAACUUGUAGGCUGAAACUGUUAAGCUCAAACUGAAAUUGAUGGAAUUUGUGAAAAAAAAAGAGGUUGGGUAGUGAAGUCAAAAAUUUCAAGUCUAGGUGCUCAUUUAAAAGAUGAAGUUUAUGUAGGGCGUUUGCAUUUUUCCUUAUAUUAUAGAUCGUAUGAGUUUCAUUUGAUUUCAAUUUGAUUGGAUCCUAAGUAUCAUAUGUCGUGGCAAUCUCGUUUACUACUGCUCUACAAGUAACUAAAAUAGGCCUUUAGCAGUUUCAGCUUGCUUGUUCAUGUUACUUCAGAUAAGCAGUUUCUAACUCCAACACCAUGAGCAAUCCUUUUACAAAUGAGAACUUGGCAUCCUCUAGCCCUAUCCCCGAAAACCCCUGACUCGGACUCAUAUUGAACAACUGAAGAGCCUUCCCCUAAACCCUACCCUAGCACUUACCACAGGCAUACCAAUGAUUUGUCGUACAAUUUGCUGUUUUACAUGGAGUUUAAUAGAUUUGUAUAAUGUAGAUGUUUGGCUUCUUUUUCUAAAGACAUUGAAUUAAAAGUUUGCAGAGGACUUAUUUGUUUUUCUUCCCCAUUAAACUAAUAAGUAAUUUUGAGUUACUUAUAAAGGGUGCAAAGUUUACUUGCUCAAAACCAUGCCUUGUUAAUCCUAUCUUGCAAGAGAAGAAUAUCUAAAAUGGACCGUCUUUAAAUUUCUACAGGUAGAAUGAGAGCGUGAAAAACAUCACCUUGUAAUUUACGAAUCACUUUAGGAAAGGGGUAUUGCUAUUUACCUUUUACGAAUAGGUAUAUUAAACUGAUUGGUCUUUAAUGGUGCUAUUUUCCUUUUCUUAAUGCAAGAAGAGUUUGAUACCUACAAUCCUAGUGUUCAUUUGUUUGUGCAGUUACAAUUUCUUGCAAGAAGAUCCAGAAUCAUUUAGAUUGUUUCAGCAAAGGAUGCUAUUUUUGCCCUUGCGCAGUCAGGAUUAUGUGCUGCUUUUUGUCGAAGUAAGCAUUCUGUGCCUGCCAAUACUAUAAAAAAUAAAAACUUGUCGAAGUAAGCAUCCUGCGGCAUCACUUCUGCAUUUUGCGUUCUGUCGGAAAAUUUACAGAAUAUUCCCUCGGAAUAUUGCAGAAUCUGUUAUGUUCUAAGUUCCAACGGAAUAUUCUGAAAUUAUUGUUAGAUCAAACAAUACAUUAGUUGAGGGAUGAAUUCAAAAAACAAAGUUUUGGAAUGUGUUUCUGGUUGAGACUUGCGAGUGUCCUUGCGCCUUUUUUUCACUAUAAUUGGUAUCUUUUUUUUCUCUUGGCAGCAACAAACAAGCGGUUAUGUUUCUUGAAUAUUAGCCCGGAUGAAGUGAUUAGAUGCCUUUUCUAUAACAAGAACAACGAUUCACUUAUUACAGUCUCAGUUUAUGCUUCGGACAACUUCAGUUCUUUAAAGUGCAGGACAACUCCAAUAGAGUAAGAACUUCAAUCCAUCCGUUAAGUUUGAUUUUGCUAGUGAAUUCUCUAUGCAAAAUUUUAUUCUUUCAUCUAAAUUUGUUUAUGCUUUAAAGUUUGUAGUAUAAUAUAGUUGCUCUGAUUUAUCACUGCUUACUAUGCCAUUUUUAGACAAGCUUUUUAUAGCAGAUAGAUAAAAUAUGCAGCCAAGUAUCCUUUGGCAGAUUGGCACACAUGUCAGGGGCUUAUAACCAUAUUUGGAACCCAAGUUCAUUUUCUUUUUGGUGCUUUACAUUUUGUUAAGACCACAUAUUUACAUUUGUAAGACCAUAUAUUUACAUUUGUAUUCCACUAAAAUCUGAAUUUUGUAUAUAUAAACCUUUUAGAAGCACAGUUUCUUACCAAAAAUGUUUAUAUCUGAAGUUGGGAAAGGAAUCCAAGUUAUGGGAAAUAGUUGGAUUUUUAAUAGGAAAGUUUUGUCAAGAGGGCAAAUUUUUUUGAAGUACAUGGAUAUUCAUACGCGCACGUGUGUGUAGUAAAUAAGGAUUUUGAAGAGAAAAAAUUCAGAAUCCCGAGAUAUUGUAACUAUAUCAUUUUCCUUUAACAUCAAUGUAUUUAAAUAUCUCAGUUUCUGUCCUACUGUGGUAUUUGUAUAGCAACUUUGAUUAAGAUCUAUAGUUUUCUUGCUAUUGGCGUGCUCAUUCAGAACCUUUAACUCACUAAUUGUUUGAAAUGCGCCUUUGACAUUUUAUUAUUAAUUUUUGUCAGGUCUAUCAAGAGGAAUAGAUUUGUUGCUGCAAUUCUAAUGGGACUAAACCGUGAUUCUACAAGUAAAAUCGAUUUCAUAUUAUCUGUUCACGGUAGCUUAACAUCAAGCAGUUGAAUAUCUAUCUUGGAAUAUGUCUUUUCUUGGUUUUCUUAGCUUGAUUAUAGUAAUAUUUAGUUAGUUGGCAUUUGGUGAUAUUGUUGUCCUGCUACAAUCAUUUUUCUGCUUCUGGGAUGAUAGUUUUAGAAUUAUGGUUCGUCUAUUUUGCAGGCAUUCAAAGAAUAGAAAAAAAUUGUGUAUCUAGAAAAUAUGCCUGUCAGGUACUUUAUUAUGCAUGCAGGCUUGUAGAUUGUUUAAUUUAUAUAAUUUAUUUUUUUUCUUUUGUUUGUUGCAGGAAAUGAAUUACUGUUAAAAUAGGAGCUGAAGCAUUUUUCUUUUAUCAUUUUUUAAGUAUUUUCUAUUUUCAAAGUUGAGAGAGUAAGGAAUAAUGUUGAACUGUAUAUCGAAUAUUAUACUCUAUUGCCUUUAAAUUGAUUUUGCUAUUAUUUUGUUUUUAAGCUGUUGUUGAUCAGAAGUUAAUUAGCCUUUUAAAUUAUGUUAAAAGAAUAAUUUUGUUUAUUUUAAUAUUUUGUUUGUUAUUUUGUAUAUGUUUUGUUUAUAAAAUAUAAGCUGUAUAUUUUUAUAUUUAGUUUAUUACCUUUUUAUUAUUGGUGGCCAUUUAUUGCACAAUUGGUGGCGACAAAAUGUUGCCUCUUUAUUUUUAACUAAGGUGGCAACUGUGAUGGUUGUCACUUAAGGUAAAUAUUUGGUGGCAAAAAUGUAUUGCCAUCUUAUCUCCAUCUCCAUGAAAGGUGGCGACUAGUAAGGGCCACUAAAAAGUCCUAUUUGAUUGCGACAAAAUAUCGCCACGUUAUCUUUAAUAAGGCGGCGACUAAUAGUUGCCACUAAAAGUCAUAUUUGGUGGCGACAAAAUAUCGCCACGCUAUCUUUAAUAAAGUGGCGAUAAAUAAUGGCCACUAAAAGCCAUAUUUGGUGGCGAUAAAAUGUCGCCACGCUAUUUUCAAAAAGGUGGCGAUUUUUCAUGCUUCGCCACAAUUUCAUUUAGCGGCAACACUUUCGGUGGCAGCUUGUGGCGACUUUGAAAGUCGCCACCUUUUGAAAAGGUGGCAAUUUUUUAUAUAUAUGGUGGCGACAUUACUCGCCACUAAUAUAUAAUAUUCUUGUAGUGUUAAGAGUUAAAAAAUGAACGGUCAUAAAUGAAUAACCUUCUUAAAAUAGAGGUUAGACCAUUUCAAUUCAUAAUCAGAGUUAUCAAACAUUAUCUAAAUAGUAUAAAGAAUUUUCUAUUAAAAAUUCAAGCAAUUUGGAUUGCUCUACACCGUUAAACAAGCAAACGGCUCAUAUAGGCCAUCAAAAAUUGUCGAUUUUACGACACUUUGAUCACCAUGUAAAUAAUUUUUAAAAUUUAUGAAAUUUAGUUUCUAGAUAUUUCAAAUACUCUAUAUCAACUUCAACAGCUCCGAUUAUCGAUUCGGAAUCUCGAUCAUCAAGAAUAAUUUGAUAGGACAAGUGUUCCUAUCCUAUUAAUAGGAUAAUAGCUCUAACCUAUAUAUAUAUAUAUAUAUAGGGCUAGAGUUGAUCUAGGAUACUUUUACAAGUAUCAUCCCCAUAUUGCUAUCACGUUUUUAGCUAUUGGAUCUACUUUUUAAUUACAAAUAGCCCUUGGAUCAAACACUAUUCCACCNAAUAUAAAUUUUAUAAUUUUUCAAUAUCUUUUACUUAAUGGUCAAAAUGAUUCAAAAUCAAUGACUGAACGUAAAAAUCUUACAAAGAAUGAUGAUAUAAAACUAAAAUUUUAGAUUAAAUAUAUUAAUCUUAAUUAUUUUAUACAGUAUAAUUUUUUUAUUAAUAUUUUACUUGAUUUAGAUAUUUUUACAUAUAAACUUGCAAAUGGCUCAUCACGACUGUUAAAAUUAUUGAUUAGGGGCAUCUUCAAUCAUUAGGUAAGUGAAAUUGAAAAAUUGUGAAAUUUACUUUUUAGGCACUUUAAAUAUUUUAGAUCAAAUCUAACGGACACGAUUAUCGAUUCGAAAGUGCUAGCAUCAAUAACGACUUGAUAUAAUGGAGACCGUCGUACUUCUAAAAGCACACAAACCUAAUAUUUUCUCUCCAUAUAGAAAGAGAGAGUAAAAGUAGAAUACUAUUGAUAGUGUGGCAGUAUGAGAAUAGUGUUUACUAUUAACUUUUUGACCAUUAGAUAUCUAGAGUUUAGGAAAGGUUGGUAAAAUAGUGAUAAGCCAAGGGUGAAAAAAUUGAUAGUAAAUACUAUUUGUAUACUAUUAGUAGCAUACUCCAAUGUUUUUUUUCGGAGCUGAAAUACUUUUAUAAGUAUUGGUCAUUUUUACUUCUAACAUUUCAUGGAUUCCCCCUUAAACUAUUAUUGGCUAGCCUUUGAUUUGGAUCCUCUUUAACUAUUACUGGCUAGUCUUUGGAUUAAUACUAUUUACCAACCACUACUAAAUUUUAGAAAAAUUAUUAUCACUUCAACUCUACGCUCCUUUAUUCAAAGAUUAAAACCGUAAAUAAACCCAAUACUCUUUAGAAUAUUUAUUUUAAUUUAUAUAUAUAUAUAUAUAUAUAUAUAUAUAUAUAUAUAUAUAUAUAUAUAUAUAUAGUUUUUUUAUUAAAUAAAUAAGUUUUUGAUAAAUUUUUAACAAAUUCUUUAAAUUUUGAAUAAUUUAAACUAAUAUUUUUAAAAAAUGAAUUAAAAUAUAUUAAUAAAGAAAAUAAAUAAAUAAACAGGCCGGGAUGGUGGUUAGGCCCAAGUCCAAAAUGGACUGGGUCGCACCAGGCUGCCCCUGGCCCUGUAGCCCGGCACUGUCCGCAUUUGGAUGUGAGUUGGGCUGUCCCAGGCCCAGCAGUGCCGGGCCAUCUGUCUGCCAUCCAUGUCAUCUCCGAACUGACUGAUAGCAAUUUAAUGUAUAAAUAAAUAAAUAAAAGAAAAAAACUUCAAAUACCACUCCUGUAUUUUCAUAUUUUUUUAUUUUUGUAUCAUGUGGUUUAAAGUAUAUCAAUUCAGUACCCUGUGUUUUUAUUUUUCUCUUUUUAUUAUCCAUCCUACUAAUUUUUUUCGUUAAAUCAGUGACAAAGUUAAAACUAAAGGGUGCUAGAGUGAAUAUUCGAUAAAGCUAUAUCUGAAGUUUUUUUAUAUAAUUUAACAAAAUAUUAAAGGAUGAGCUGACGAAAAGAAAAAAAUAAAACCACAAGAGUACUAAUUUGAUGCAUUUUAAACCAUAUGGUACUAAAAUAAAAAAGUACGAAACCACAAGGGUGGUAUUUGAAGUUUACCCAUAAAUAAAUACAUCAAAUUUUAAAAUUAAUUUCCCAUAAAACUGAGCCAUUUUAUCCUAUACUCAAACAAAUUUUACAAUACUUUACUAACUAGUAAAUUUGACUGUAUUUAAUUGAUAAAAAAGUGAAAAUCACAAGAAAAAAGGCAUUACUUAUUAUUUUGUGGUUGAAAUCUAAUCAUUAAAUUGUAUUGUUUAUAAAAUAUUUUGAGAUUUAUUCAUAAGAAAAUUAUUUUUCUUCGUUUAUUAGGACGUUGUCUAACAUAUAUAAAACAAAGGAUUAUUGAACCUUAUUCAAAAAUAUUGCCUAAAUUCAAUUUGAUAUUUGGUCAACAUAAAAGUCAGAUUUUAGUCACUAACAUAUUAUAAUGGGGCUUUUGACCUUGGACAAAGUUUUAGAUAGCUUAUGUAAUGCAAGUUUUUAGUAAGCUUCCUUUGAUUCGAGGUUAAGUAAAAACUAGUUAUUACAGGAUAGGGUUCAGUUCAGGAUUAAACCUGAAAUAGAUUAAUUUUACGUUUGGAUGAUAAUUAAGUUGUUUCCGGAAUUAAGAAAAAUAAUAUUUGGAUAGAUAAGAUAGAAUAAAAAGAAUAGUGAUUAAUUAUAAAUAGAAAAUAAUGAUAUUACCCCAAUUAUUAUAUUUAAUUUUUAAAUAUUUUAUUUUAUAUUUAAAAUUUUAAAUUUAAAUAGAUAAUUUUUACAAUUAAAAAAUUUAAAAUUAAAAUCUAAAAAUUAUAAAAAAAAUAUUGAUUUUAAAAUUUUUAAUUUUAAAAUUUAAAAAUUUAAAAUUUAAAUUGAUAUUUAAAAAUUAAAUAGGGAUGAGAUUAGCUAAUC